UGCAGUCGAGCGGAUGAAGGGAGCUUGCUCCUGGAUUCAGCGGCGGACGGGUGAGUAAUGCCUAGGAAUCUGCCUGGUAGUGGGGGAUAACGUCCGGAAACGGGCGCUAAUACCGCAUACGUCCUGAGGGAGAAAGUGGGGGAUCUUCGGACCUCACGCUAUCAGAUGAGCCUAGGUCGGAUUAGCUAGUUGGUGGGGUAAAGGCCUACCAAGGCGACGAUCCGUAACUGGUCUGAGAGGAUGAUCAGUCACACUGGAACUGAGACACGGUCCAGACUCCUACGGGAGGCAGCAGUGGGGAAUAUUGGACAAUGGGCGAAAGCCUGAUCCAGCCAUGCCGCGUGUGUGAAGAAGGUCUUCGGAUUGUAAAGCACUUUAAGUUGGGAGGAAGGGCAGUAAGUUAAUACCUUGCUGUUUUGACGUUACCAACAGAAUAAGCACCGGCUAACUUCGUGCCAGCAGCCGCGGUAAUACGAAGGGUGCAAGCGUUAAUCGGAAUUACUGGGCGUAAAGCGCGCGUAGGUGGUUCAGCAAGUUGGAUGUGAAAUCCCCGGGCUCAACCUGGGAACUGCAUCCAAAACUACUGAGCUAGAGUACGGUAGAGGGUGGUGGAAUUUCCUGUGUAGCGGUGAAAUGCGUAGAUAUAGGAAGGAACACCAGUGGCGAAGGCGACCACCUGGACUGAUACUGACACUGAGGUGCGAAAGCGUGGGGAGCAAACAGGAUUAGAUACCCUGGUAGUCCACGCCGUAAACGAUGUCGACUAGCCGUUGGGAUCCUUGAGAUCUUAGUGGCGCAGCUAACGCGAUAAGUCGACCGCCUGGGGAGUACGGCCGCAAGGUUAAAACUCAAAUGAAUUGACGGGGGCCCGCACAAGCGGUGGAGCAUGUGGUUAAUUCGAAGCACGCGAAGACCUUACCUGGCCUUGACUGCUGAGACUUUCCGAGAUGGAUUGGUGCCUUCGGGACUCAGACCAGGUGCUGCAUGCUG
rnacentral:rRNA from 1 species